AUUGAACGCUGGCGGCAUGCCUUACACAUGCAUGUCGAACGGCAGCACGGGAGCAAUCCUGGUGGCGAGUGGCGAACGGGUGAGUAAUAUAUCGGAACGUGCCCAGUCGUGGGGGAUGACGCAGCGAAAGCUGUGCUAAUACCGCAUACGCUCUACGGAUGAAAGCGGGGGACCGCAAGACCUCGCGCGAUUGGAGCGGCCGAUAUCAGAUUAGCUAGGUGGUGGGGUAAAGGCCCACCAAGGCGACGAGCUGUAGCUUGUCUGAGAGGACGACCAGCCACACUGGAACUGAGACACGGUCCAGACUCCUACGGGAGGCAGCAGUGGGGAAUUUUGGACAAUGGGCGAAAGCCUGAUCCAGCAAUGCCGCGUGCAGGACGAAGGCCUUCGGGUUGUAAACUGCUUUUGUACGGAACGAAACGGUCUCUUCUAAUAAAGGGGGCUAAUGACGGUACCGUAAGAAUAAGCACCGGCUAACUACGUGCCAGCCGCCGCGGUAA
rnacentral:rRNA from 1 species